AUUUGGCGGAUAUACAUUUCGUAUGGUUACCCGACUGUCGUAAGCGUGAUAAUAACUAUUAAUUGUUAGAACGGGUACCAAGUAAACUAACAUGGUGGAGAUGUAGACACGCUGCUGCGGAAAAUUUUCUUUUCAAAUGAUUUUAACUUAUUCACGAGCAACACGUUUGAGAAAAUUAAAAUUCCUUGGGAGGAGAAUCAACCACCAGUGGACAGAAUCAGACGGCUCUCUAAAUUGGUAAAAAGGCACCGUGCUUUCUGUUUCUUCUGGAAAAGACGGAAAUCCUGAUGCAGUAUAUGAGGUGCUAUAUGAAGGCGAAGACGCGUCAUAUGAAGUAGAUUCUUUGAUCAAAGACUAUAAUGAAGGCACCUUAACUUUCAUAGAUUUGUAAUGGUAAUGGAGAUUCAGUGUCACUAAAAUAGAUGUUACUUUAAAAGUUUUCAUUCAUCAUAUCACAUAUUCAUCAUAGGAAGGAACUUUAUUUUGACAUACAAGUUACAUGUGCUGCAAACUGAUUCAGGUAAGGCUUUUGUUUUUAUUUUAAUUUUCUUUUUCUUUUUAGGCAAUGUAACAGCUUCUUUAUAGGUAAAGGAUUAAUGCCUCAACAGUUUCCUUUUCAAAUGUACCUCAGAAUACUUCAGUUGAAAGUUUUAAUUUUUGACCUAAAAUUUUCAACAAAACAAUAUGGCUGACAUUUGAUGCACCUUAAGAAUUAUCUAAUGUU